rnacentral:rRNA from 1 species
GACGAACGCUGGCGGCGUGCUUAACACAUGCAAGUCGAACGGAAAGGCCCUGCUUUUGUGGGGUGCUCGAGUGGCGAACGGGUGAGUAACACGUGAGUAACCUGCCCUUGACUUUGGGAUAACUCCAGGAAACUGGGGCUAAUACCGGAUAGGAGCUCCUGCUGCAUGGGGGGGGUUGGAAAGUUUCGGCGGUUGGGGAUGGACUCGCGGCUUAUCAGCUUGUUGGUGGGGUAGUGGCUUACCAAGGCUUUGACGGGUAGCCGGCCUGAGAGGGUGACCGGCCACAUUGGGACUGAGAUACGGCCCAGACUCCUACGGGAGGCAGCAGUGGGGAAUAUUGCACAAUGGGCGGAAGCCUGAUGCAGCAACGCCGCGUGCGGGAUGACGGCCUUCGGGUUGUAAACCGCUUUCGCCUGUGACGAAGCGUGAGUGACGGUAAUGGGUAAAGAAGCACCGGCUAACUACGUG